GAUGAACGCUAGCGGCAGGCCUAAUACAUGCAAGUCGAACGGUAAGUAGAGUAGCAAUACUUUGCCUAGAGUGACGUACGGGUGCGUAACACGUAUGAAACCUACCCAUAACAGGAGGAUAGCUCGGGGAAACCCGAAUUAACCCUCCAUAGUAUAAUUGAGUGGCAUCAUUUGAUUAUUAAAACUCCGGUGGUUAUGGAUGGGCAUGCGUCUGAUUCGUUAGUUGGCGGUGUAACGGACAACCAAGACGAUGAUCGGUAGGGGAACUGAGAGGUUGAUCCCCCACACUGGCACUGAGAUACGGGCCAGACUCCUACGGGAGGCAGCAGUAGGGAAUAUUGGUCAAUGGAUGCAAGUCUGAACCAGCCAUGCCGCGUGCAGGAAGAAGGCCCUAUGGGUUGUAAACUGCUUUUGCCAGGGGAUAAAAUGGGCAUGCGUGCCUAAUUGAAGGUACCUGGUGAAUAAGCCACGGCUAACUAUGUGCCAGCCGCCGCAGUAAAAC
rnacentral:rRNA from 1 species